CCAAUUUAAAGACCAAAGCAGCCCAAAUGAAACCCAUGGUCCAAUGUCCAAACUGCAGGCCCAAAUAUUCCAGAUGCCCAAAACUCGUCAGCCCCUUUAGAAUAUUUCGAAAAUACUAGGGUUCCCAAUCCCUAAUAUCCCUAUCAGCAGCCGCACACCCCUAUCUUUCCAUUUCCAUUUCUACACAAGAAUUCAUUAUGUUACAACCAUGGACAGACCUUGUCCGAGCUAUUUUUGUGCAAGAAUUAUCUCUGUCCACGCUUGAGUUGGCACGUCUCAUCGUCUCUUUCCAAUUCCAUGCUUCAAUACGCGCUAUAAUCAUCAAAGACCAUAAGUGGUCGAACGAUUUUUGGGUAAUGUCUAAGCCAAAUCACGUGAAGAUCUGUUCAAAACACUUUCAACGUUCAGAUUUGAACGGUCCAUUUGACUUGAUUUAAAUCCUAUACCACUCAAAAUCCCGCCCAAAAACCUCAAACCCUAAGCUUGUCCUAAGAAUACUAGCAUUUGGAGUACUUUUCGAGGACAACUUUUUUUCAGCCGCUACACUUAGCACUAAAUCAUUGUUUCUCUACCUUACUGUCGAGAUUUCACGUCUGAGGACAUUCGAGGUCGAAGUCAUUUGUGUUGGACAUAGAUCUGCAAUCUAAGACCCCUGCCCCAGUUCACUGCACCCAAAAAAGGUACUGAUCGAUAGGCGGAUAGACCUCCUAAGUAGGCGUAAUCAUAUAUCAGCUGAUUGGUGAGCUCCCUUUCUAUUCGGAGUUGCCAGGUCCUUUGGAGUUUUCCUUUUUCACUCCAGAUUGUAUGGUAUAGUCACACAUAUCCCUAGAGGCUUGUAGAUGAGUCUUGUACAUAGUAUGUCGGUGUGAUAGCCUUGUCGGCUUGUAUAUGCCUGUUGGAUGUUGUUGGUUUUGUACGAUUAAAGCAGCCCCCUCGGCUUGCUCAUAUAUAUAUAUAUAUAUAUAUAUAUAUAUAUUGGGUGUGCGC